rnacentral:rRNA from 1 species
UACGUAGGGGGCAAGCGUUGUCCGGAUUUAUUGGGCGUAAAGAGCGUGUAGGCGGCCGCACAGGUCCGUUGUGAAAACUGGAGGCUUAACCUUCAGACGUCGAUGGAAACCGUGCGGCUAGAGUCCGGAAGAGGAGAAUGGAAUUCUUGGUGUAGCGGUGAAAUGCGUAGAUAUCAAGAGGAACACCUGAGGUGAAGACGGGUUGCUGGGCCAACACUGACGCUGAGGCGCGAAAGCCAGGGGAGCAAACGGG